ensembl:ncRNA C40C9.11 ncRNA
ACAAUUGUUUCAGAGAAGAACAAGACGGAGGGGGACAUGAGAGAAGUGGGAGAAAGAGAAACUUGGAAUCACUCUUUUCUCACUUGACAAUGCAGUUAGUAGGCGAUAAAAUGUAUCCCCACGGGGGAUUUCAACGCAGGG